rnacentral:lncRNA from 1 species
UAAACGAUGGCCCUGGUAGGAGUGUGGCAGCUGACUCAGAGGGAGCCAAGGCAAGAGGCAGCGGGGAAUGCUGCAAUUGCCCAGAAAGAGAGGAUGAGGGCUUGACCUUGGGCAGUGGUCAUGGGGACUUGCGGAGAGGCAUGAGUUGAGAAACAUUUAGGAGGGCAGGUUGUCAGGACCUAGUGACUGAUUGGCCGUGUGGGAUGAGGGAGGGGGGUGGACUCAAGGCUGGCCUUGCAGGGGCCAAGCAGUGAGGCAACCCCAGCCCCAAGGAAUUCAAGGGGUGGAGUAACUUUCAAGACUCAAGGCUGAUCUCAGGUUGAGACAACGGUGAGUCUUGGGUGCCCGGGUGUGAAGUGGUAAGGGGAUGACAGAAUCCCCAGAGGCAGCUGGAAACCUAGGGACUAAAGGUCAGGAGAGAGGCCUGAACUAGCAAUGUAGAUGUGAAAUGAUGAGCAUAUGGCGGUGGUGGGGACCACAGAAGUGGUGAGAUGGCGCAGGGAGGCUGAGCACAAGAAGAGCCAGCCCCUCCCUGGGGACCCUGACCUUUAGGGGGUGGGCGGAGGAAGAGAUGAUAGGAGGCCAGCAGAAAAAAGUGAAAUCGUGCAGGCCAAGUGAGGAAGGCGGACAUGAGCAAGGGUGGGUAAGUGCGUUGACUGCAGCGGUCUCUGGUGAGCGGUUCGUCUCUGGUGAGAGAAGAACCAAAAAAGGCCCACUGGGAAGAAUGAGGAUUGCAGAGGGCCUCGUAGGAUGGGAAAGCCCCGAGCACGUUUGGAGCAAGUCACCUAGCAUGGAUGAGAGGGACCAAAUUCCCCUGGAGUAUGACCUUUUAGAGGAAGCCUUCCCACAAAGGAUCCCAAAUAUUUGCAAUUCAAGUCAGAGCAAAAGAUUGAUUUUCCUGGUAAAUAAAGAGCUCCUACCAAUCAUUAAGGAAAAUAAACAAUCCAAUAGGAAUCCAGGCAAAGAUAUGAACGGACAGCUCACAAAAAGGGAGUACAAAGAACUCUGAGACCAAUGACGUGUGAAAAAGGCUGACUCUCACUCAUCAUGGGAGCCAUGUACAUAGAAUGGCACUGCGCCGCAACCCCAGCCUCAGACUGCUCAAGACUGCCGACGAGGGUGUGCAGCGGGCACACACUGCUGCCUCGUGGGCACAGCGUGCUGUUGUACACAGACCACAGAGAUCACCUUGACCCUGCGCUUCUGAAGGGUGACCUGGCAAUAAUUUAGCACUGCCUCUACUCAGCAAGUCAUCCCAUCUCUACACGGACAAGGCUAUUCCACACGUACCAGAUUGUUCCCUGAAGCAUUUUCAGUAUCACCAAAGAUUUGAAACAGCCCAAGUGUCCUUCACUAGAGGGUGGGCUAAAUAAUUUAUGGUGGAUUGGUACAACUGAACACUAUGCAAUCAUGAAGAAGAGGGGAGGGGAAAGGGUAGUAGGAAGUACUUUUAUGCACUGAUGUGCAUUGAGCUCCAAGAUACAUUUUUAAGUGAAAGUGCAAGGCAUUCCGUAGAAUGGAAUACAAAUGAUUCUUUUAUUUGUAUAAAGGAGAAAAAACAUGAAUAUAUGUGUACACAUAUAUAUACAAAAUACGUAAAUGUAUAUGAUGUACAAAUUCGUAUUUAAUGUACAUAUAUGUUCAUUUUAUUUAUUUUUUUUUAUUUUCUUCAUUUUAAUAUGAACAGUAGCAUAAUCUGUAUUAUGUACACACAAUAUAAGUAGCACCUUAGGUGAAUAGUUGCCGCUUUGAGUCUCAGUUUUCACAUUUAUAAAACGGGAGUUGUAAGAAAAGGGCAGGCAAAGCAAUGAUAGGAAACAGCAAUGGAAGCAGCACCUUAUAUACGUGCCUUAUAUAUUCCAAUGCACGUAUAUAUGAAAAUGGUUCUGCACGUUCACCUCUGGAAGCACGCAGACCCCGUGGCUGCUGCUGGGGAGCAGAGCCAAGAACUUGGAGGCUGGGCCCAUGGCAGGAGGGAGACUUUUCACUGUAGCACAUUGUGCCUUCCGGGUUUUGGUUGUGAAUGUAUUACCUAUUCAAAAAGUAGCUAUCGUUAACUUUCUCAAAAAGAGAGAUGCAAAGGAUAUUUUCAGCUUAGCUGAGGCGGAGGUGGGAGUGGGUCAGGUGGAGAAUGAAGGCAGGGCCUGCAAGGGCAGGUGCCUGGAGACACUGAGGCACACCGGGGGCCAGGUGACUGGCUGUGGUUGGAGCACAGUGUGGGGGAGUCUUGAUAAGAACACGCCUGGCAAGAAACAGGAUGGAUGAAGACAGAUUUAUAUAUCACGGUAAAGAGUCAGGCUUUUAUUGCAAUGAGAGGCUCUUGAGGGAUUUAAUGGGGGCCAGACAUGGGUUAUAUUUUCGGAAGAGCCUCCUGGAGGCAGGGUGGGGAGGGUUCUGGGGAGAGGACAUUCCUGAUUUCCCCUCACCUUUCUCGGCCUUUCUCAUCUUUAGUGAUGCUGACCAGUGGGUGGGGUGAACUCUGUUGUUGCACACAGGGAACUGAGGCUGAGGAAAACUGAGUCCUGAGUUCCCACUUAGAGUCAGGAUUCAAACUCAGGUUCCCAUGGCUCUGGAGUCUGAGCUCUGAUUUUGGCUCUGUGUUGUUGGGUGAGAACUGCAAAGUGGUGGUCAAGCAUCAGGUCCAAAUAUGUGGCUGAUGAAGUCAGGAUGCAAUGGCAAGAACUUAUCAUCAAGUUUCCACCAACUCGCUGGUCCCUCUCCCACCCCUCAGUCACCGUCCGAGUGACCCAAGUCCCCGGUCUUAUUCAUGGAAGAACAGCAGUGCAUUUCUUAACAACACUCAGUUUUCUUCUUCUGCAGGUAUAGUGAAGGUCAGACUUCUUACAGCUGUAACAGGACAGCCUGGACGGAGGUUCCCUCCAGAUGAGGUCUGUGGGAGAUGCAUUUGGCUCCAGUUAAGCUGAGCCUUCUACAUUUUCUGGUCAUCUGGUUUGCAUUUUCCUAUCAUUUCUUUGCCUGCAUUUUCCUUACAACUCCCAUUUUAUAAAUGUGAAAACUGAGACUCAAAGAGGCAACUAUUCACCUAAGGUCACCUGGUUUAUCAACUGGGGAAUCAGGCCUUAAACCCUUGCCUUGGGACACCAGAUUUUUUUUUUUUUUAAAUUAAUAGGGGUUUAUUUGAGUCUCAUAAUAAAAACCCAGAAGUGUCUUGUGAUUUCUUUCA